CAGCCGCCGCGGUAAUACGGAGGGAGCUAGCGUUGUUCGGAAUCACUGGGCGUAAAGCGCACGUAGGCGGCUAUUCAAGUCAGGGGUGAAAGCCCGGGGCUCAACCCCGGAACUGCCUUUGAAACUAGAUAGCUUGAAUCUUGGAGAGGCGAGUGGAAUUCCGAGUGUAGAGGUGAAAUUCGUAGAUAUUCGGAAGAACACCAGUGGCGAAGGCGACUCGCUGGACAAGUAUUGACGCUGAGGUGCGAAAGCGUGGGGAGCAAACAGGAUUAGAUACCCCAGUAGUCCCUGUCUCUUAUAC
rnacentral:rRNA from 1 species